GUACCCGCUGAACUUAAGCAUAUCAAUAAGCGGAGGAAAAGAAACCAACAGGGAUUGCCCCAGUAGCGGCGAGCGAAGCGGCAAGAGCUCAGAUUUGAAAUCUGGCCGUCCUCGUGGCGGUCCGAGUUGUAAUCUGUAGGGGGGUAUUCUGGACGUCGCGCACUGCCUAAGUCCCCUGGAACGGGGCGCCAUGGAGGGUGAGAGCCCCGUAAGGCGGCGCGCCUCGGACAAUGUGAAGCCCCUCCGACGAGUCGAGUAGUUUGGGAAUGCUGCUCUAAAUGGGAGGUAUAUUCCUUCUAAAGCUAAAUACCGGCCGGAGACCGAUAGCGCACAAGUAGAGUGAUCGAAAGGUGAAAAGCACUUUGGAAAGAGAGUGAAAUAGUACGUGAAAUUGUUGCAGGGGAAGCGCUCUUGACCAGUCGCGCGCCAGGGGAUCAGCCGCCGCCUGCCGGUGGUGCACUCCCUUUGGUUGCGGGUUAGCACCGGCUCUUGCUGCGGGAAAGAGACCUAGGGAACGUGGCCCCGUCUUCGGGCGGGGUGUUAUAGCCCUUUGUGAAGUACCGCCCGCGGGGGCCGAGGAAAUUCUGCGCCUUUUGGCUAGGAUGCUGGCAUAAUGGUCAUCAGCGUCCCGUCUUGAAACACGGACCAAGGAGUCAAGCAUUGGUGCGAGUGUUAGGGUGUCAAGCCCGACCGCGCAAUGAAAGUGAACUUUCUAGGUGGGAACCCCUCUGGGGCGCACCACCAACCGGGCCUGAAGCUUCUGCAGAGGGACCUGAGUAUGAGCACUAACGCUUGGACCCGAAAGAUUGCGAACUAUGCCUGUGUAGGGUGAAGCCAGAGGAAACUCUGGUGGAGGCUCGCAGCGGUUCUGACGUGCAAAUCGAUCGUCAAACAUGGGCAUGGGGGCGAAAGACUAAUCGAGCAAUCUAGUAGCUGGUUGCCGCCGAAGUUUCCCUCAGGAUAGCAGUGUUGGAGCUCAGUUUUAUGAGGUAAAGCGAAUGAUUAGGGACUCGGGGGCGCUAUUUAGCCUUCAUCCAUUCUCAAACUUUAAAUAUGUAAGAAGCGCCCGUUUCUUAACUGAACGGGCGCCUUCCGAAUGAACCAACACUAGUGGGCCAUUUUUGGUAAGCAGAACUGGCG
rnacentral:rRNA from 1 species